rnacentral:lncRNA from 1 species
UUGAAGAAACCGCUUACCGGAUUUCUUCCAAAUUUCUAGACCGUAAACAGAAAAACAUGUGGUGACAAACUAUGGUCAAUAAUCUAAAUAUAUAUUCAGAAAUCAAUAAGGGUCCACAAUACCGCUUUAUAUGUUGAUAUCAAGAUAAACAAACAAUCUUCUAUCUUUUGAUGCAAAUAUCACAAGUUAGUGAACAAAAAGAGCACGACUUAUAUACCUUUUUCCAGUCAAAACCUCAUGAGCUGGGUUUUCUUCAAGUAAUGGAUUACCUAUAGUACAAAUACACAAAACCACUAGUAGGAUAUGACUAGCUGCUAGUUCUGUAAAUAUUCAUUAAAUCUACGGUCGACUAUAAUAUCUUCUCAACAUUAACUGUAGGGAUACAAUAUUCUUCGCAAAGGACGUCAAAUCGAGGACAUCGUAAGGCUCGUAAUCACCUAAACUUACCCAUCCGCCACGCCACCGUAACGUCCGGAGAAAUUAUCCUUUUUCCGCUCUCUUUUUUCGCGUUUUUUGUGCUUCCGAUUACAAGAAAUUUUACAUCGGAAUACCCAAGGCCGAGCUCGGUUGUAAAUGUCCUCCAUCCGACAGUCGAUGUAACAAGAAUGUUCGAACGAGAUUAGUCUAAUUUAAACCGUAAAUCGAUGGUUAAGCAACAAAAGCACAUCAUCGUGUGACUAUGUUCUGAAACUCGUCUUCCUUAAUAGGACCACAAACCUGUCAAUAAUCCUCUGGAAGCCUUACACGCAGACAAGCACACACCAUACAUAAACCAAUGUGCAUUGAGCUAGGGUUUCUUGAUGUUUCCGCGAAAAGCCAAGCAUGAAUUCAUGAGACCAGGAAGAGGAAAAAGACAGUUUUAUCACCUUUGUUGCUGGCGAAACCUAACGAGAAACUUACCACCAUCGAUGUUGCUCCGGAUCGUGCGCUUGGAGAGGACGUAAAAGAUUAUAGGGCUUUUCGGCAAACCCUCGUCGUGGAGAAAUUGGAAGAGCACUGAGAUAUUGGCACGGCUCAAUCAGAGACCAAGAAACGGAGAGAGCAAG